GUGCUUCUAAAUUUAUUAAAAUUUUUCUUUUGAUAUUCUAAAAAAAAAAAAAAAAAAAAA
rnacentral:ribozyme from 1 species